UCUAUGGAGAGUACAAGAACUUGUGAGUAGUAUCUGGAUUUGUUCAGUAUGAAAGCAUGCUCGAUGAAGUAGGAA
rnacentral:ncRNA from 3 species